rnacentral:lncRNA from 1 species
AUCAAAUUUACGUUUUCAUUAGCAUCUUCUAAUGUUAUUAUUAUUAUUAUUAAUUAUUUGUUUUCUAUAUUUAUAUUGUUCUCUGUGAGCAAUGCCUUGAAAAACUGAACCUGAAUAUAAGCAGAUGCUGAAAUUCUGUUACAUGCCGAAUAAACAUGAUUUGCAUGUUUUCAGAUGAACUGUAUGUCAGUGUCCAGCGGCUCUGAGCUGCGGAUCAUAAUCAAACAGCUUCAUAUGUGGACGCAUCAAACUCUCUCAACACUGAGAAAAAAAUCGAAUAAAAUAAACACUUGUGUCUCUAUCGGGUCGCUGUCUCUGGGAAUUAUGUCUCAACAAAAGCAGAAUUUUCUGUGUCUGAUGAUCAUCUUUUGUGCUUCAUGCCAGUUAACCUGCUCAGAAAAACUGCUAAUCCAAGUCAAUUCGACAGAUCAGUGUUUCUGGAACAGCAGUAACUCAACAGUUCCAGAUAUAAAAUGGACAUGUCUGACAGCUCAUGAACCAACAGGAAUUUUCACACUAAAUACCUCUUCUCUUGGACAAUGCAGAUCAUACAGUUUCAACAUAAAACAGAAGAACAAUUAUGAAAUCAGAAUGAAUGAGAUGAUUCAAGGCAUAAAACUGUGGUUAUUACCAAAUGGAUCUAAUUAUCUGUUUUCAUUCCAGAAUUCAUCAGCGAUUAAGGCUUGCCAGGCACAGGGUGGUAUAAUGAGCAUCAGCGUCAGAAUUGGAUGUGAGAACAUAGAUCCUGUUGAUCCUGAAGAGAAAUGUAAAAACGCCCAAUAUAACAGUGAUCUAUGCAGCGGGGAAGAAGAAAGCAGAUACAGAUACGUUCUGUAUUUAAAUGAGAGUGAAAGGAUUUGUGUGACCUGCGAUGAUGGAAGAUCAACCAGCAUUACUUCACUGUCACACACUAUAUCUUACAAUCCAACUACCAGUUUCACAUCACAUACGACAUUUGAGAAACCAAUUUCCACUGUCAAACCACCUGAGAUAACUUACAAUCUUACCGACGAGCAAAACAACGAGGUUGGAUAUACUGAACCUUCAAAGGCUUCAGAAAAGUUGACCAAAAUAAAGUCCCUGGUGGAGGGGAUGGAAAAAAACGAUACAACCAAUGCGGCGCUUAUCAUGGGGGAUGUUAUUGGUGUUCUUCUUAGACAACCCAUGGACAAGCCAACCAAAGAUAUCAACAUAUGCUACUCUUCACGUCAGAACAUGAUAAACGUAAGCCUGAGAGGCAUUAAAACAUGUCCCUCUUGGGAAGAAUUGACUAUUUAUUAAUGCCAUUUGUCCUGUUUGCAGCUUGUUGAGUAGCAGCCAGAAGACAGAAUUGCCUGGUGUGUAAAGAUAUAAAUCAAGACUGGAAAACAAAGGAAGUGCAUAUGUUGGAGUUUUACGGUUCGUGAACAUGGGAAACAAGGUUUGCAAUCUUCUUCAAAAAUUCUACUUCUGAACAUGUUUCUUGAACAUGUAUAUUUGAUUUCUGUAUUAUUAUAUGGUUUCUCAUUUAGAAUGAAACUGAAAUGCACACCGUUUUGAACAAUGAUAGUUAUGGAAUUACGAUGGGGGCUGAAAUCUCCCACCUUACCAACAAUAUUGACAUAUUCAUUAAAAAGGAUAACACGGUAAUGAAGGUUUUGUUGAACUUACUUUGUUACAAUGACCAGACAAUGUGAAAAUAAAAUAAAAAAUCAAGCGUGUUCUUACAGGUUGAUAAUCAUGCGUCCUGCGUUUCUUGGGACGAAAAAGGUAAAUUCGUGUAGGACUGUAUUGAUUAGUUCCUAUCAACAAACCCAGUUUAUUUUAUAUAAUUAUAAUUAGUUCUCUUUUCUUUGAAGGAGAGCUUAAUUGGACGACGUUCGGCUGUGAGACAAAAAUCGAAGACAACAUCAUAAAGUGCUCCUGCUCACAUCUGACCUUCUUUUCAGUGCUGAUGGUGAGAAGAAGAACUUACACUUUCAUCAUUCAUGUUUCAUUUAAAGAUCCCUUUAAUCUAGGGGUGUAUACACGUGUAUACAUGU